GGAGCUCCUGACGCUCGUUUCAGCAGUGAGGGCGAGGUAGGACAUGUUGUUGGUUCACUCAUUCCUUGCCCCACCGGCGCGAUGAAGGAGCAGGCGUGGAACGCAGUGACAGCUGGUCAACGCUAUGAGUAGCGCUGUCAGGAGCAUCACUGGUCAUAAACAACUUCAGUGACAUCAAGGAGAAAAAAAAAAGGAUAAGUUAACAGGGAACACAGCUACAGAGAAUGAGUCCCUGUAGAUGCUAAGGUCCAUAGUUCCAGCUUCAGCAUUACUAGAGUGAUCAACUUUGGAGCCAUUACUGGACUGUUAAUCAGAAUGGUCCGCACCUACAAGAAGAAACCUGGGGUCAAACGGCUCCAAUACACUCAGGGUGCAGUAGCAACUGCACUAGUUGACCUCCAAGGAGAUCGUACUGACCUCGAAAUAUCCAAAAUGUGCGAAAUAUGGCAUUCCCAGGGCAACUCUGCAGAGCAGGUUUAAAGGAAAGGUGCAAAGUCCUGGCCAGUCCGGUAGGGGCACUGGACUGCUCGUAGGAGAGGAGUUACCCCUUGUCCAGGCAUCUCAGUGGGCUUUUUUUAUUUUUAUUUUUUAUUGGAUUUUUGUUGCGCUGGGCCAGUGUCUCUCCUACAUAAAAAAAUAAAAAAAUAAAUAAAAUAAAAUAAAAUAUUUGCGGGAAAGAUAGCAUAUUAAUUCUUUUAAAAAUCAGAAAAAAACUGAACUGUAUCUAAAUGAGCAUAUACCUAAUUCAGUACAAAGCCUGAUAUUACACAGGAUAUGUAUAGAUGAUAGAUAUACUGAUAUAAUUAAGGCAAGCUGCAUCAAUUAAUUACCAGUUACCACCUCUUGCUCUGCUUCUUAAAUGCUUGAUAUGCCCACUCCUGCUGGACCCAGCUGUUCUUUGCCCUCCACCUAUGGGAAAUUGAACGUAUUAUGAAUACGAAACAUAAAACUUUAAUUAAUUUGGUAACAAUAACUA